AACGAACGCUGGCGGCAUGCCUAACACAUGCCAGUCGAACGAGCCCUUCGGGUCUAGUGGCGCACGGGUGCGUAACGCGUGGGAAUCUGCCCUUGGGUUCGGCAUAACAGUUGGAAACGACUGCUAAUACCGGAUGAUGACGUAAGUCCAAAGAUUUAUCGCCCAAGGAUGAGCCAGCGUAGGAUUAGAUAGUUGGUGAGGUAAAGGCUCACCAAGGCGACGAUCCUUAGCUGGUCUGAGAGAAUGAUCAGCCACACUGGGACUGAGACACGGCCCAGACUCCUACGGGAGGGAGCAGUGGGGAAUAGUGAACAAUGGGCGAAGGCCUGAUCCAUCAAUGCCGGGAGAGUGAUGAAGGCCGUAGGGAAGAAAAGCUCUUGUACCCGGGAUGAUAAUGACAGUACCUGGAGAAUAAGCCCCGGCUAACUCCGUG
rnacentral:rRNA from 1 species